UACGGAGGGUGCGAGCGUUGUCCGGAAUCACUGGGCGUAAAGGGCGCGUAGGCGGCCUGAUAAGUAGGGGGUGAAAUCUUGCGGCUUAACCGCAAGGCUGCCUUCUAAACUGUCGGGCUAGAGCACAGUAGAGGCAGGUGGAAUUCCCGGUGUAGCGGUGGAAUGCGUGGAGAUCGGGAAGAACAUCAGUGGCGAAGGCGGCCUGCUGGGCUGUUGCUGACGCUGAGGCGCGACAGCGUGGGGAGCAAACAGG
rnacentral:rRNA from 1 species